GGGUUGUGAGGUUAAGCGACUAAGCGUACACGGUGGAUGCCCUGGCAGUCAGAGGCGAUGAAGGACGUGCUAAUCUGCGAUAAGCGUCGGUAAGGUGAUAUGAACCGUUAUAACCGGCGAUUUCCGAAUGGGGAAACCCAGUGUGAUUCGUCACACUAUCAUUAACUGAAUCCAUAGGUUAAUGAGGCGAACCGGGGGAACUGAAACAUCUAAGUACCCCGAGGAAAAGAAAUCAACCGAGAUUCCCCCAGUAGCGGCGAGCGAACGGGGAGGAGCCCAGAGCCUGAAUCAGUGUGUGUGUUAGUGGAAGCGUCUGGAAAGGCGCGCGAUACAGGGUGACAGCCCCGUACACAAAAAUGCACAUGCUGUGAGCUCGAUGAGUAGGGCGGGACACGUGGUAUCCUGUCUGAAUAUGGGGGGACCAUCCUCCAAGGCUAAAUACUCCUGACUGACCGAUAGUGAACCAGUACCGUGAGGGAAAGGCGAAAAGAACCCCGGCGAGGGGAGUGAAAAAGAACCUGAAACCGUGUACGUACAAGCAGUGGGAGCACGCUUAGGCGUGUGACUGCGUACCUUUUGUAUAAUGGGUCAGCGACUUAUAUUCUGUAGCAAGGUUAACCGAAUAGGGGAGCCGAAGGGAAACCGAGUCUUAACUGGGCGUUAAGUUGCAGGGUAUAGACCCGAAACCCGGUGAUCUAGCCAUGGGCAGGUUGAAGGUUGGGUAACACUAACUGGAGGACCGAACCGACUAAUGUUGAAAAAUUAGCGGAUGACUUGUGGCUGGGGGUGAAAGGCCAAUCAAACCGGGAGAUAGCUGGUUCUCCCCGAAAGCUAUUUAGGUAGCGCCUCGUGAAUUCAUCUCCGGGGGUAGAGCACUGUUUCGGCAAGGGGGUCAUCCCGACUUACCAACCCGAUGCAAACUGCGAAUACCGGAGAAUGUUAUCACGGGAGACACACGGCGGGUGCUAACGUCCGUCGUGAAGAGGGAAACAACCCAGACCGCCAGCUAAGGUCCCAAAGUCAUGGUUAAGUGGGAAACGAUGUGGGAAGGCCCAGACAGCCAGGAUGUUGGCUUAGAAGCAGCCAUCAUUUAAAGAAAGCGUAAUAGCUCACUGGUCGAGUCGGCCUGCGCGGAAGAUGUAACGGGGCUAAACCAUGCACCGAAGCUGCGGCAGCGACGCUUAUGCGUUGUUGGGUAGGGGAGCGUUCUGUAAGCCUGUGAAGGUGUACUGUGAGGUAUGCUGGAGGUAUCAGAAGUGCGAAUGCUGACAUAAGUAACGAUAAAGCGGGUGAAAAGCCCGCUCGCCGGAAGACCAAGGGUUCCUGUCCAACGUUAAUCGGGGCAGGGUGAGUCGACCCCUAAGGCGAGGCCGAAAGGCGUAGUCGAUGGGAAACAGGUUAAUAUUCCUGUACUUGGUGUUACUGCGAAGGGGGGACGGAGAAGGCUAUGUUGGCCGGGCGACGGUUGUCCCGGUUUAAGCGUGUAGGCUGGUUUUCCAGGCAAAUCCGGAAAAUCAAGGCUGAGGCGUGAUGACGAGGCACUACGGUGCUGAAGCAACAAAUGCCCUGCUUCCAGGAAAAGCCUCUAAGCAUCAGGUAACAUCAAAUCGUACCCCAAACCGACACAGGUGGUCAGGUAGAGAAUACCAAGGCGCUUGAGAGAACUCGGGUGAAGGAACUAGGCAAAAUGGUGCCGUAACUUCGGGAGAAGGCACGCUGAUAUGUAGGUGAAGUCCCUCGCGGAUGGAGCUGAAAUCAGUCGAAGAUACCAGCUGGCUGCAACUGUUUAUUAAAAACACAGCACUGUGCAAACACGAAAGUGGACGUAUACGGUGUGACGCCUGCCCGGUGCCGGAAGGUUAAUUGAUGGGGUCAGCGCAAGCGAAGCUCUUGAUCGAAGCCCCGGUAAACGGCGGCCGUAACUAUAACGGUCCUAAGGUAGCGAAAUUCCUUGUCGGGUAAGUUCCGACCUGCACGAAUGGCGUAAUGAUGGCCAGGCUGUCUCCACCCGAGACUCAGUGAAAUUGAACUCGCUGUGAAGAUGCAGUGUACCCGCGGCAAGACGGAAAGACCCCGUGAACCUUUACUAUAGCUUGACACUGAACAUUGAGCCUUGAUGUGUAGGAUAGGUGGGAGGCUUUGAAGUGUGGACGCCAGUCUGCAUGGAGCCGACCUUGAAAUACCACCCUUUAAUGUUUGAUGUUCUAACGUGGACCCGUAAUCCGGGUUGCGGACAGUGUCUGGUGGGUAGUUUGACUGGGGCGGUCUCCUCCUAAAGAGUAACGGAGGAGCACGAAGGUUGGCUAAUCCUGGUCGGACAUCAGGAGGUUAGUGCAAUGGCAUAAGCCAGCUUGACUGCGAGCGUGACGGCGCGAGCAGGUGCGAAAGCAGGUCAUAGUGAUCCGGUGGUUCUGAAUGGAAGGGCCAUCGCUCAACGGAUAAAAGGUACUCCGGGGAUAACAGGCUGAUACCGCCCAAGAGUUCAUAUCGACGGCGGUGUUUGGCACCUCGAUGUCGGCUCAUCACAUCCUGGGGCUGAAGUAGGUCCCAAGGGUAUGGCUGUUCGCCAUUUAAAGUGGUACGCGAGCUGGGUUUAGAACGUCGUGAGACAGUUCGGUCCCUAUCUGCCGUGGGCGCUGGAGAACUGAGGGGGGCUGCUCCUAGUACGAGAGGACCGGAGUGGACGCAUCACUGGUGUUCGGGUUGUCAUGCCAAUGGCACUGCCCGGUAGCUAAAUGCGGAAGAGAUAAGUGCUGAAAGCAUCUAAGCACGAAACUUGCCCCGAGAUGAGUUCUCCCUGACUCCUUGAGAGUCCUGAAGGAACGUUGAAGACGACGACGUUGAUAGGCCGGGUGUGUAAGCGCAGCGAUGCGUUGAGCUAACCGGUACUAAUGAACCGUGAGGCUUAACCUUACAACGCCGAAGGUGUUU
rnacentral:rRNA from 1 species